CCAGGCACUGGCCAGGGACAGGAAGCGUUGCGGUCACCGCUUCCAGCAAAAAGGGUUAAAUUUUAAAUUGAGCUGCCUUAUUGUCGGCUGCGGCGGUGGCAACGGGUUAAGCAGGCGCCACACCAUGCCAUGACUUUUGUUCAGUCCUUUAAUUGCCUCAAGUACUACAGAGAAGGGACUUUAAUUGGACAAAGAUGAUUGCCGGAUGCUUCAAGUGCUCAACUGAGCAAGUGCCAAGUGGCAGCCCAGCCAAUUGGCAACAAUGAAGUGUCUAGAAGUUAAGUGACCACCCAGUAUGCAGUCUGCACUUGCAAGCAAUUCCAGAAACAUCAGACAAUUUCAUGCUUCGACGCCGAAUCUACUUGAACUUUGGACAUUUGAAACUCACUCAGCCACAACACAAGCGCCAAUAUAGGUGAAAUUCGUUUCUGGCCAGCUUGAGUUCCACUAAACAACAGCGACAGCAUGCUUCAAGCAUGCUCAAUGUGAAGUGAAUAAAAUAAAAUAAAAUAUAUAUUUCAAAGAAAAAUCCUAAAGGGUCAGACUUCAAAUGGGACUGGCAAUUUAAAAGGCACAUUUUUGUUAAUUGUCAAGUUCAGAGCUUUGCCUUCCUUUAAAUAAAAAUUGUACAAAACAAAUGCAAUCAAUUCCGUUAGGAUAAAAACUAAAAUCAAAUAAAAUGAAAUUCAUCAAGUCGUCUAGCAACUUUCAUAAGUUUUUCAAUUUUCCCAACUUCACUGUCUAUAAUCUUAAUCACGAAUAAAACUAUAUUCCUUUUGAUCACUUUUAAAACAAAUUUGACUAUUGAAUAUUCUAUCAAAAGAGAAGAAACCAAAAAAAAAAAAAAAAA